GGGGUUUUCACUAUGUUAACCAGGCUGGUCUCAAACUCCUGACCUCCAAUAAUCGUCCUGCCUCAGUCUCCCAAAGUGUUGAAGAUUACAGUCAUGAGGCAGUGCACUCAGCCUGUGUAAACAUAUCUUAACAAGCAACUACCUAGGUCAAGAAAAAGAAAAUUACCAAAGCGAAAAGCUUCCCUGCAUGUCCUGUUCUUAUCACAACUCCCUCUCCCCAGCUCAGAAAUAAUGAGUACCUGACAUAUUUUUAUCUUUUAAAAACUUUUUAUUAUGAAAAUGUCUGAAUGUAAACAAAAGUACAGUAUGCUAAAAUUCCCAUGUAUUCAUCAUCAAGCUUCAACCACGUUUUGUCACAUUUGUUUCCUAUAACCACCUUUCUCUCUGUAUCCCUCCCUCUUCCCCCCCUCCCUCUCUUUCCUGGACUGUUUUAAAGCAAACCCCAGAUAUUAUGUCACUUCAUCCCUAAGAACUUAAGCAUGCACCUAAAAAAGAAGACAUUUCCUUAUGUAAUUACAAAACCAUUAGUAACCUAACAAAAUUCACAAUCAUUCCUUACUGUCAUCAUAGUCAAAUGAAUGUCACUAGGUUCAGGUGUUCCAAAAUUAACUAAAAACAUACUUUGAAAAAUUAUGGACAAA